rnacentral:tRNA from 1 species
GCGGUAGUAGUUUAGUGGCAGAAUUCGGGACUGUGGAUCCUGAGGCAGGGGUUCGAUUCUCCUCUACCGCC